UACGAGUGCCCCAAGCGUUAUCCGGAAUUAUUGGGCGUAAAGGGUGUGUAGGUGGUUGUGUUAGUCCUCUGUCAAAUUCUUCGGCUUAACCGGGGGUCCGCAGUGGAAACGGCACGACUAGAGGAUGCGAGGGGGAGACGGAACUCAUGGAGUAGGGGUGAAAUCCGUUGAUAUCAUGGGGAACACCAAAAGCGAAGGCAGUCUCCUGGCGCAUUCCUGACACUGAGACACGAAAGCGUGGGUAGCGAACGGG
rnacentral:rRNA from 1 species